AAAAGAAAUGCUUGUGUGGUCAUUAAAACAGUUCUGCUUAACCCUAAAUAUGUAGCCUUGUCUCGUUAUUGAAGGGUACUUGAUUCCAGCUUAAUCACUAGCUCUUUUAAGAGCUCUACUUCUCUCUCUCUACAAGGAUCCAGCGGAUGGGAUAUCGGGAAUACUCUGAAGCACAGCCUCUUGCCGGGAAAAGGACGUCUCCAAUGGCAUACACCCCUCCAGCAACCAGGGUGGUUCUGCCCUGCGGUAGUCAGAGAUCCUGCUAAGAAGGGAGGCCUAAACCAAGAUGAUGGACUACAGAAUAGAGGAUGGGGGAAAGUAUGCGACACUGAAACCUGCAGAAUAUCCCCAUAAUCAAUAGUGUUUAACUCGACUAUGGUCUACCCACUAUGGCGUGUCAACUUGUCCUAGUUUGGACCAUGCAAU